rnacentral:piRNA from 1 species
UGUGGACUACAUGGUGCUGUGAACUUUUC